GCGAUGUUUCUUAAAACGCUUCUGAUAAAUUAUUUUAAUUGGAAUCUUUUGAAUGGACAGUAGGGAGAAAUUGGACUCCUUUGUGUGCCUUUUUCUUGCAUGGCUACAAAAGUUUGCAUACAGAAGCACUUCGUUCUCCCCUCUUUAGGCCUAGUAUGAACAGUGAUGAACCUGAUCUUUCGUGUGCUGACAACCUGCCCUCUGAUGGGGCUGUCGUACCCCAGCAGCAGAAUGGACAAACAGCAAUUUUGCACCCCGUUCCGUAUGACGGGCAGUCAUUUCCACUGAAGAGCAGGCCUGGUGUAUUUCUCUCAGGCUUCUCCUUCUACAACAAAUCCCUUUCAUUUGGAUGA
rnacentral:lncRNA from 1 species